UCUUCUGGCUGCUGCAAAGAAGGAAAACAAAAGGUUUAGGGAUUAAUAAGGUACCACAAAAGUGGCGUACCUUCUCAUAUGCCAUGUGGGUGCAUAGCCCCCGGCAUAUU
rnacentral:rRNA from 1 species